rnacentral:rRNA from 1 species
GUUGUUGGGUAGGGGAGCGUUCUGUAAGCCGUUGAAGGUGUGCUGUGAGGCAUGCUGGAGGUAUCAGAAGUGCGAAUGCUGACAUAAGUAACGAUAAAGCGGGUGAAAAGCCCGCUCGCCGGAAGACCAAGGGUUCCUGUCCAACGUUAAUCGGGGCAGGGUGAGUCGACCCCUAAGGCGAGGCCGAAAGGCGUAGUCGAUGGGAAACAGGUUAAUAUUCCUGUACUUGGUGUUACUGCGAAGGGGGGACGGAGAAGGCUAUGUCAGCCGGGCGACGGUUGUCCCGGUUUAAGCAUGUAGGCGGAGGUUCCAGGUAAAUCCGGUACCUUUUAACGCUGAGGUGUGAUGACGAGGCACUACGGUGCUGAAGUGAUAAAUGCCCUGCUUCCAGGAAAAGCCUCUAAGCAUCAGGUAACACGAAAUCGUACCCCAAACCGACACAGGUGGUCAGGUAGAGAAUACCAAGGCGCUUGAGAGAACUCGGGUGAAGGAACUAGGCAAAAUGGUGCCGUAACUUCGGGAGAAGGCACGCUGAUGUGUAGGUGAAGCCCCUGCGGG